AACGAACGCUGGCGGCAUGCCUAACACAUGCAAGUCGAACGAGACCUUCGGGUCUAGUGGCGCACGGGUGCGUAACGCGUGGGAACCUGCCCUUAGGUUCGGAAUAACUCCCCGAAAGGGGUGCUAAUACCGGAUAAUGUCUUCGGACCAAAGAUUUAUCGCCUUUGGAUGGGCCCGCGUUGGAUUAGCUAGUUGGUAGGGUAAAAGCCUACCAAGGCGACGAUCCAUAGCUGGUCUGAGAGGAUGAUCAGCCACACUGGGACUGAGACACGGCCCAGACUCCUACGGGAGGCAGCAGUGGGGAAUAUUGGACAAUGGGCGAAAGCCUGAUCCAGCAAUGCCGCGUGAGUGAUGAAGGCCUUAGGGUUGUAAAGCUCUUUUAACCGGGAUGAUAAUGACAGUAGCGGGAGAAUAAGCUCCGGCUAACUCCGUG
rnacentral:rRNA from 1 species